rnacentral:rRNA from 1 species
CCUACGGGAGGCAGCAGUGAGGAAUAUUGGUCAAUGGGCGAGAGCCUGAACCAGCCAAGUCGCGUGAAGGAUGACGGCCCUACGGGUUGUAAACUUCUUUUGUCAGGGAGCAAUUGGGUCCACGCGUGGGCUUAGCGAGAGUACCUGAAGAAAAAGCAUCGGCUAACUCCGUGCCAGCAGCCGCGGUAAUACGGAGGAUGCGAGCGUUAUCCGGAUUUAUUGGGUGGAAAGGGAGCGUAGACGGUUAUGUAAGUCUGGAGUGAAAGCCCGGGGCCCAACCCCGGGACUGCUUUGGAAACUGUGUAACUGGAGUACAGGAGGGGCAGGCGGAAUUCCUGGUGUAGCGGUGAAAUGCGUAGAUAUCAGGAGGAACACCGGCGGCGAAGGCGGCCUGCUGGACUGAAACUGACGUUGAGGCUCGAAAGCGUGGGGAGCAAACAGGAUUAGAUACCCCAGUAGUC